GACGAACGCUGGCGGCGUGCUUAACACAUGCAAGUCGAACGGUAAGGCCCUUCGGGGUACACGAGUGGCGAACGGGUGAGUAACACGUGGGUGAUCUGCCCUGCACUUCGGGAUAAGCUCGGGAAACUGGGUCUAAUACCGGGAAGGACUCCUGGCUUCAUGGUUGGGGGUGGAAAGCUUUUGCGGUGUGGGAUGGGCCCGUGGACUAGCGGCUUGUUGGUGGGGUAGUGGCCUACCAAGGCGACGACGGGUAGCCGUCCUGGGAGGGUGACCGGUCACACUGGGACUGAGAUACGGCCCAGACUCAUACGGGAGGCAGCAGUGGGGAAUAUUGCACAAUGGGCGCAAGACUGAUGCAGCGACGCCGCGUGAGGGAUGACGGCCUUCGGGUUGUAAACCUCUUUCAGCUAUGACGAAGCGCAAGUGACGGUAGUAGCAGAAGAAGGACCGGCCAACUACGUGCCAGCCGCCGCCGUAA
rnacentral:rRNA from 1 species